CCGAAUGGCCGCCUGGAAGGAUGCCUGGAACGGAGGGUUUCCUUGACUGGCUGAUUGAUUCAGACCGGCCGUGGCUGAAGGUGCCCCCCAGGGUGCUGGGCUAACUGGAGGGAAUGGUGCAGAGGACAGCUGGAUGGAGCCAUAUCCCAUAGGAGUUGAUGAUGAAGAAGCGCCUGAACUCCCGACAGAAAAUUGAAUCGACUGCGAAGCCGAAUUUGGAUAAGUCUGAUUUGG
rnacentral:lncRNA from 1 species